rnacentral:rRNA from 1 species
AUUGAACGCUGGCGGAAUGCUUUACACAUGCAAGUCGAACGGCAGCACGGGGGCAACCCUGGUGGCGAGUGGCGAACGGGUGAGUAAUACAUCGGAACGUGCCCAGUCGUGGGGAUAACGUAGCGAAAGCUACGCUAAUACCGCAUACGAUCUGCGGAUGAAAGCGGGGGACCUUCGGGCCUCGCGCGAUUGGAGCGGCCGAUGGCAGAUUAGGUAGUUGGUGGGGUAAAGGCUCACCAAGCCGACGAUCUGUAGCUGGUCUGAGAGGACGACCAGCCACACUGGGACUGAGACACGGCCCAGACUCCUACGGGAGGCAGCAGUGGGGAAUUUUGGACAAUGGGCGCAAGCCUGAUCCAGCCAUUCCGCGUGCAGGAUGAAGGCCCUCGGGUUGUAAACUGCUUUUGUACGGAACGAAAAGGCUUUCUCUAAUACAGAGGGCUCAUGACGGUACCGUAAGAAUAAGCACCGGCUAACUACGUGCCAGCCGCCGCCGUAAGAC